rnacentral:rRNA from 1 species
UACGAAGGGGGCUAGCGUUGCCCGGAAUCACUGGGCGUAAAGGGCGCGUAGGCGGCCAAGUAAGUUGGGGGUGAAAGCCCGUGGCUCAACCACGGAAUUGCCUUCGAUACUGCUUGGCUUGAGACCGGAAGAGGUGAGUGGAACUGCGAGUGUAGAGGUGAAAUUCGUAGAUAUUCGCAAGAACACCAGUGGCGAAGGCGGCUCACUGGUCCGGAUCUGACGCUGAGGCGCGAAAGCGUGGGGAGCAAACAGG